GGAACUCUACUGAUAAGUGACUGAUUUUCCCUGCAAGGAUUGUCUUAUUUUAAACUUCAAAUUUAGUUGCCUUACUUUAUGUAAGGCAAUUUUGAAUGGAUUUUAAAGUAAAGAUGAAGACUAUUCAUACUUUUCUAAACCUAGAAGGCAGAAGAACUGAGCCAAUGAAGGAGUGCAUCUUAUCUAAGAGGACUACAGGUCUUAACAGUAGCAUACAGGGAACGCUCUUUCUUUCAAAAUGGUGCUAGCCAACCUUUAAUAGAAACCUCAGAUAUAAAGUAUUACCGAAGUUCCCCAAAGGAUUUCUACAUGUUUAAAAAUAUAAAAAUACUUAUGUGCCUGGAACUGGAGCUGAGGAAAUGAUAAUGAUUCAUAUGAGUGACCAGAUAUUUCUUCAAUAUUAAAGCCAUAUUAUAAGUACCAGGAUAAUGCAAGAAAGCUUUUCUUAAAGCUUUUCCAGCAUAAGGCAAAGGAAGGAUUGCCAACAGUUGCUUGUCAGAGAAUGUCUGGUAGGUGAGUUCACUUAGGGUGGCUUCUUCUACCGGGAACAGGAAGAAGGUAUUAAUACCAACAAAUGGAGACAGAAGACCACUUCACAUUUUGUUGUGACCUAGAAUUUGGAGAAUGUGUUGGAGACUGAUGGAUACAUACACAGAACCCACCAUGGACUUGCUGAAUAGGUGCCAGACUGCCCAACUUUCCUGUUUAUCACCCUUUAUCUUGAGGAUCAUCUUGUAUAAAACACAGACCCAUGAAAUAUAAGAAUGAAUCAUUAGUUAAAAAAACAAAAGAGGGGUGCCUGAGUUGCUCAGUCAUUAAGCCUCUGCCUUAGGCUCAGGUCAUGAUCCUGGGGCCCUGCUCAGUGGAGAGCCUGC